CAUGAUGCCACUCUCAGGGGACGCCUGUUGUGUCUCCAGGCCACGCUUUCUCCCUCUCUCUGAUCACUUGUUACAAGGCAGUACCUCCUACAUGGUCGGCAUUCAGCCACCUACCGCCCUUCUCCUCGCGGCACACUGAUGGAGCAGCUCAGCCUUUCCCUCACAGUGUGGCUCCUGUCACAGCCACUCCAGCACCCGCCCUCACAGGAUGGCUCCCCUCAGAGCUUUCACUCCCCCUCUCAACAGGCUCCGUCUCUAUCAAUUCACAGGUGUGUGCUCUACAUACCCCUUCUCCUCCCCCACCCCAGACUGGGCUGCACCGCUCACAGGCGUUACUACGUGGACUCGGAGUGUCGCCCGGCAGCAGCUGAUCUUGGGGGAGGAGGCAGAGCAUGCUCUUCACCAAUUCCUUCUCCCCACAGCUGCGCUCCUCAACGCCGGGUGUGACGUCAGAUCGUGUGUGCCCACACAGUGUUUGGUGCUUGACAUGGGAACUGCAGCCGCUGAAGAGUGAAAACAAAGGAUGGAGCAGGGACCUGUGCACCAGCGCCUGUCAGCGCUGCACUCCUCACUCCAGUAGUCGGAUUCACAGAAGUGCACACCACCACAGGCUCUUCCCUUGCGUUCCCCAUCACCUGCUGUCUCCCUAGCCUGGACCAAGUCCCUGACUACUGCUCUUUACCGAUGGUUUUCCUGAAAGAGGGACGACGCACACCGUGGACUCUUGGAAUUACCACCACUGAAUAAGGGACUGCCAUCUGCGGACGCUGCUCUGCUUAAACGCCUUUACAAUACGGUGGUGGGGAGCAGCCACUGAGAAAAGAGAGACCGAUAGGCCUGAUUCCAAGACUUUAUCCGGUACUUACAGUACAUUCACGUGUCCAUAAUUUACCCAUUUAUUUGAAUUACUACACCAUAUGGCGCUUGUUCUUCUCCCCUACCUCCACAGAAUCGCAUGACUGAACCUACCCAGGUCAUUUCUUGAGGAACUGAGCUGCCACCAAAGAAGUUUGGAAGGUGUCUAUAGAGCACGGGAAAAUUUGCUAGAUGGCUUUGGAUGCGGAUCCAAUACGACUAAUUAAGUCUCAGCAUAGUGACAUCAGGCGACCUUUUUGGAAGGAACUUUCGAACGUUGGAUAAGCGCACUGAUCUAUAAAAACACUUUUUGCAUAUAUAUAUAUAUAUAUAUAUAUAUAUAUAUAAGGAACCCAGUUGCACUAAGAUAUAAUUUUUAAGCAGCACCUCUAGAUGAAUCUCCUGUUAGCAAAGAUUCUUAUAUAACAAAUAGCAGACUGAUCUGAGGGUGCUAAUAAUGGUGUUCCUUAUUUAAACCAUCCACAGUAAACUGUUUAACAAUGCCAAUAUAUUUAGCAAUAAAACAUCACUUAUUAAAAAUGUAUUCACAAUAAAAUUGUUUAAAAUAUACAAAAAUCCAUUAAAAAAAUCUGUAUAAUUUUUCAGAGUUUUAAUGUAUAUUUAUCCAGCAGGAUUUCAGUGAAACAGAGUCUUUUGAUGAUAUUUAAUCAUGAUGGAAGGAACAGACGUUGACAAGAAUAUACAAUCCAACGCGUUUUGUCCUGUAGGACUUCUUCAGGAGUAUAUAGUCAAUUGCCCAAAUUGUAGGUGAUAAAAGUGAAAAGGAGAUAAACCACUGGACAUGCCAGCUAGGGCUAUUCAAUCUGGAUUUAAUGGGUAUACAGUUGCAAUAUCGUAGAUGAAUUUUCAAAUAUAUAAAGGUGAACAUUAGUACUCUCCAGUGGGAGCAGAUUACUUUAAGGAUAGAUACCCAUAUAAAGGCCAACAGCUUUUGUUGGUCCGCUGUAGUACACCAGAUAUAUAUUACUGGACUUUUUGCUAGAUAACACAAAACCUUCCGCGUAGAAACAGGCAAUGGAAGCAGCCACACUAGAAUUGGUGUGACUCUUUAUCUGACUCUACACGUAUUGUGACACUGUAGGUUGUACAUUUGUUUUACACAUUUGUGGUGUGUGCUGUACCCCACUUGGUUUAUGUUUAUUCAUAGAUAUGGAGGACGAACAAUUGAGAGAAGAGGCAUAGACGGUUUAAGUCAGGGCAUUUAGAAUUAAAGAAAAAGUUGAAGUCGGAUUGGUGCAAUAAUAACCAAUAAAAAUUGUUGUAUAUGCAAUAAAGACUGUCACCAAUGCCCCCAAUGAUUGAUUUCAAUUUUUAAAAUCAAACAAAUUAAAUUAAAUUACUAAUCAAUCAAUCCUUCCUUCCACUACAUACAUACUCUACCUUCCUUGGGCCCCUGAUCUACUUAUUGAUAAAGAUCUGUGUCAGACCAUUUUUACUGAUUUUGUUUUCAUAUUUAAAAAA